CCUACGGGAGGCAGCAGUGGGGAAUAUUGGACAAUGGGGGGAACCCUGAUCCAGCCAUGCCGCGUGUGUGAAGAAGGCCCUCGGGUUGUAAAGCACUUUCAGUGAGGAAGAACGCCUGGUGGUUAAUACCCAUCAGGAAAGACAUCACUCACAGAAGAAGCACCGGCUAACUCCGUGCCAGCAGCCGCGGUAAUACGGAGGGUGCGAGCGUUAAUCGGAAUUACUGGGCGUAAAGCGCGCGUAGGUGGCUUGAUAAGCCGGUUGUGAAAGCCCCGGGCUCAACCUGGGAACGGCAUCCGGAACUGGCAAGCUAGAGUGCAGGAGAGGAAGGUAGAAUUCGCGGUGUAGCGGUGAAAUGCGUAGAGAUCGGGAGGAAUACCAGUGGCGAAGGCGGCCUUCUGGACUGACACUGACACUGAGGUGCGAAAGCGUGGGUAGCAAACAGGAUUAGAUACCCUUGUAGUC
rnacentral:rRNA from 1 species